CGAUCAUAUCGAUUGUACGUGAUUAUUUGUUUUGUGAUAAUAUGGCUUGAUUUACUCGAUAAAUUCCUCGAAAUAUAACAGAAAAGUCGCUUUUCACGCGUACUUAUCUAAAAUGAACCGUGAGAAAUAAAGAAAGCGACCUAUUUAAAGGAAUAUGAGUAAUAUUUUAGUGCAUCCUUUAAGUGAUAAUCCAACGGCGGCCUGGAAAGAGAUUUGUAAAACCCAAAAAUUAUUUAAAGUUAACGUUAAAUUACCCGCUAAACCACCGAAUGAUAACCAAAUUCGUUUCGUGUGUAUGAGUGACACCCACUCGUUGGUUCAUAACAUUAAAUAUGAUAUUCCCGAUGGUGAUGUUUUUAUUCACGCUGGAGAUUUUUCACGGUGCGGUCAUAUAGAUGAAGUUAAAGAGUUUAAUAAAUGGAUAGGAACUUUACCCCAUAAACAUAAAAUCGUAAUCAGUGGGAACCACGAAUUAAGUUUUGACCCGAAAUUUAUAGAUGUGUUUAAAAAGAAAUUUGAGCCUUCAUCAAGACACAGAGAAAUCUUCCAUUGUCCAAGCUACGGAAAAGGUGAAGAUGAUAUCAAAGAAGCCGUUCACACUGAAAAUAUAAGACAUUAUUUAACUAAUUGUACUUAUUUGGAAGACGCCGGAUUGGAAUUGUAUGGAAUUAAAAUAUACGGAACGCCCUGGCAACCAUCCUUUGGCAAUUGGGGGUUUAAUUUAGAACGCGGCUCAGAGUGUCUUCAGAAAUGGAAUCUAAUCCCGGAAAACACUGAUAUUUUAAUAACACAUACCCCACCAGUCGGACACGGAGAUUUAGUGUGUUCGGGAAUAAGGGCUGGUUGUGUUGAACUCUUAACAACUGUCCAGGAGAGAGUUAAACCGAAAUAUCACAUUUUUGGGCAUAUUCAUGAAGGUUAUGGAGUGUCAUCUGAUGGUAAAAUUAUUUAUAUUAAUGCUUCAACGUGUGAUAUAAACUACAUGCCUAAUAAUUUACCUAUUGUUUUUGAUUAUCCCAUCCCUGAGGGAUUUUCAAAGAAUUAGGAACUCAAUAGACUUGAUAGGAUUAGUAUAAAACGAUAUUAUCGGCCACACUUUAGAGGAUAGGAUUAUAAAAAUAAAUCUGCACAAUGUCUUCUAAAACGGAAUUAACCACGUUAACAGAAGAAAAUCUUUAUAAACAACCUGAAGAGAUCUUCGAUGUCAUUCAAAAAAUCGGUGAGGGUUCUUUCGGAAGUGUUUACAAAUCAAUUCAUAAAGAAACCAAUCAAAUAUUGGCGAUUAAACAGGUUGCCGUUGAUAGUGAUCUUCAAGAAAUCAUCAAGGAAAUUUCAAUAAUGCAACAAUGUCAUUCGCCGUACAUCGUAAAAUAUUACGGAAGUUUUUUUAAAGAUACAACAUUAUGGAUUGUUAUGGAAUAUUGUAGUUUGGGUUCAGUUUCUGAUAUAAUCAAAUUGCGUAAAAAAACUUUAACGGAAGAUGAAAUUGCUUGUAUUUUAUCGGACGUACUUAAAGGAUUGGAAUAUUUACAUAGAAAAAAAAUGAUUCAUCGUGAUAUAAAAGCGGGAAACGUUCUUUUAAACUCAGAGGGACACGCAAAAUUAG
rnacentral:misc_RNA from 1 species